rnacentral:rRNA from 1 species
GACGAACGCUGGCGGCGUGCCUAAUACAUGCAAGUAGAACGCUGAAGGAGGAGCUUGCUCUUCUGGAUGAGUUGCGAACGGGUGAGUAACGCGUAGGUAACCUGCCUGGUAGCGGGGGAUAACUAUUGGAAACGAUAGCUAAUACCGCAUAAGAGUAGAUGUUGCAUGACAUUUACUUAAAAGGUGCAAUUGCAUCACUACCAGAUGGACCUGCGUUGUAUUAGCUAGUUGGUGGGGUAACGGCUUACCAAGGCGACGAUACAUAGCCGACCUGAGAGGGUGAUCGGCCACCCUGGGACUGAGACACGGCCCAGACUCCUACGGGAGGCAGCAGUAGGGAAUCUGCGGCAAUGGACGGAAGUCUGACCGAGCAACGCCGCGUGAGUGAAGAAGGUUUUCGGAUCGUAAAGCUCUGUUGUAAGAGAAGAACGAGUGUGAGAGUGGAAAGUUCACACUGUGACGGUAUCUUACCAGAAAGGGACGGCUAACUACGU